rnacentral:rRNA from 1 species
AUUGAACGCUGGCGGCAGGCCUAACACAUGCAAGUCGAGCGGAUGAAGGGAGCUUGCUCCUGGAUUCAGCGGCGGACGGGUGAGUAAUGCCUAGGAAUCUGCCUGGUAGUGGGGUAUAACGUCCGGAAACGGGCGCUAAUACCGCAUACGUCCUGAGGGAGAAAGUGGGGGAUCUUCGGACCUCACGCUAUCAUAUGAGCCUAGGUCGGAUUAGCUAGUUGGUGGGUUAAAGGCCUACCAAGGCGACGAUCCGUAACUGGUCUGAGAGGAUGAUCAGUCACACUGGAACUGAGACACGGUCCAGACUCCUACGGGAGGCAGCAGUGGGGAAUAUUGGACAAUGGGCGAAAGCCUGAUCCAGCCAUGCCGCGUGUGUGAAGAAGGUCUUCGGAUUGUAAAGAACUUUAAGUUGGGAGGAAGGGCAGUAAGUUAAUACCUUGCUGUUUUGACGUUACCAACAGAAUAAGCACCGGCUAACUUCGUG